UACGUAGGGUGCAAGCGUUGUCCGGAAUUAUUGGGCGUAAAGAGCUCGUAGGCGGUCUGUCGCGUCGGCUGUGAAAACCCGGAGCUCAACUCCGGGCCUGCAGUCGAUACGGGCGGACUCGAGUUCGGCAGGGGAGACUGGAAUUCCUGGUGUAGCGGUGAAAUGCGCAGAUAUCAGGAGGAACACCGGUGGCGAAGGCGGGUCUCUGGGCCGAUACUGACGCUGAGGAGCGAAAGCGUGGGGAGCGAACAGG
rnacentral:rRNA from 1 species